GCUCAGAUUGAACGCUGGCGGCAUGCCUUACACAUGCAAGUCGAACGGUAACAGGUCUUCGGACGCUGACGAGUGGCGAACGGGUGAGUAAUACAUCGGAACGUGCCCAGUCGUGGGGGAUAACUACUCGAAAGAGUAGCUAAUACCGCAUACGAUCUGAGGAUGAAAGCGGGGGACCUUCGGGCCUCGCGCGAUUGGAGCGGCCGAUGGCAGAUUAGGUAGUUGGUGGGAUAAAAGCUUACCAAGCCGACGAUCUGUAGCUGGUCUGAGAGGACGACCAGCCACACUGGGACUGAGACACGGCCCAGACUCCUACGGGAGGCAGCAGUGGGGAAUUUUGGACAAUGGGCGAAAGCCUGAUCCAGCAAUGCCGCGUGCAGGAUGAAGGCCUUCGGGUUGUAAACUGCUUUUGUACGGAACGAAAAAGCUUCUCCUAAUACGAGAGGCCCAUGACGGUACCGUAAGAAUAAGCACCGGCUAACUACGUGCCAGCAGCCGCGGUAAUACGUAGGGUGCGAGCGUUAAUCGGAAUUACUGGGCGUAAAGCGUGCGCAGGCGGUUAUGUAAGACAGAUGUGAAAUCCCCGGGCUCAACCUGGGAACUGCAUUUGUGACUGCAUGGCUAGAGUACGGUAGAGGGGGAUGGAAUUCCGCGUGUAGCAGUGAAAUGCGUAGAUAUGCGGAGGAACACCGAUGGCGAAGGCAAUCCCCUGGACCUGUACUGACG
rnacentral:rRNA from 1 species